rnacentral:rRNA from 1 species
GUAUGAGAUCGAUUUAGCCAUGCUAGUCGCACGAGUUCAGACUCGUGGCGAAUAGCUCAGUAACACGUGGCCAAACUACCCUUCGGAACACAAUACCCUCGGGAAACUGAGGCUAAUAGUGUAUACCACAUCACCACUGGAAUGAGUGAUGUGCCAAACGCUCCGGCGCCGAAGGAUGUGGCUGCGGCCGAUUAGGUAGACGGUGGGGUAACGGCCCACCGUGCCAAUAAUCGGUACGGGUCAUGAGAGUGAGAACCCGGAGACGGAAUCUGAGACAAGAUUCCGGGCCCUACGGGGCGCAGCAGGCGCGAAACCUUUACACUGCACGACAGUGCGAUAGGGGGAUCCCAAGUGCACAGGCAUAGCGCCUGUGCUUUUCGGCACCCUAAGGCGGUGCCAGAAUAAGGGCUGGGCAAGACCGGUGCCAGCCGCCGCGGUAAUACCGGCAGCCCAAGUGAUGGCCGAUCUUAUUGGGCCUAAAGCGUCCGUAGCUGGCCGCGCAAGUCCAUCGGGAAAUCCACCUGCUCAACAGGUGGGCGCCCGGUAGAAACUGCGUGGCUUGGGACCGGAAGGCGCGACGGGUACGUCCGGGGUAGGAGUGAAAUCCCGUAAUCCUGGACGGACCGCCGAUGGCGAAAGCACGUCGCGAGAACGGAUCCGACAGUGAGGGACGAAAGCCAGGGUCUCGAACCGGAUUAGA